rnacentral:rRNA from 1 species
GUGGGGAAUAUUGGACAAUGGGGGCAACCCUGAUCCAGCCAUGCCGCGUGUGUGAAGAAGGCCUUUUGGUUGUAAAGCACUUUAAGCGAGGAGGAGGCUCUUCUAGUUAAUACCUAGGAUGAGUGGACGUUACUCGCAGAAUAAGCACCGGCUAACUCUGUGCCAGCAGCCGCGGUAAUACAGAGGGUGCGAGCGUUAAUCGGAUUUACUGGGCGUAAAGCGUGCGUAGGCGGCUGAUUAAGUCGGAUGUGAAAUCCCUGAGCUUAACUUAGGAAUUGCAUUCGAUACUGGUCAGCUAGAGUAUGGGAGAGGAUGGUAGAAUUCCAGGUGUAGCGGUGAAAUGCGUAGAGAUCUGGAGGAAUACCGAUGGCGAAGGCAGCCAUCUGGCCUAAUACUGACGCUGAGGUACGAAAGCAUGGGGAGCAAACAGGAUUAGAUACCCCUGUAGUCC